rnacentral:misc_RNA from 1 species
AAUGCGAUAAGUAAUGUGAAUUGCAGAAUUCAGUGAAUCAUCGAAUCUUUGAACGCACACUGCGCCCGCCAGUAUUCUGGCGGGCAUGCCUGUUCGAGCGUCAUUACAACCCUCAGGCCCCCGGGCCUGGCGUUGGGGAUCGGCGGAAGCCCCCUGCGGGCACAACGCCGUCCCCCAAAUACAGUGGCGGUCCCGCCGCAGCUUCCAUUGCGUAGUAGCUAACACCUCGCAACUGGAGAGCGGCGCGGCCACGCCGUAAAACACCCAACUUCUGAAUGUUGACCUCGAAUCAGGUAGGAAUACCCGCUGAACUUAAGC